rnacentral:misc_RNA from 1 species
CUCUCUUUCUCUCUCUCUCUCUAUUUUGGUUAAUGUAGUGGCAAGUUGAGAUUUAGAGAUUAAUGCAAAAUGUGAUACGGCAUAUUUAACAUGAAGGAGGAAGGGUAAAGAGAGUACGUGGUGAAAAUAUUCAGAUUUUUCUUUACACUUGAUUGAGUCAUAUCAGAUGCUAAAAUGGAAACUUUUUUCUACAAAUAUAUGCCUCAUUACUAAUUGGGGAGUUUUACCAUACGCCCUUGGUGAUUGGCUACAGUUGACAACAAUGUUAAAAAUUAUGUAUAUAAUUGACACAAAUUAAAACAUUCUCCAUCUGCUUUGGAGUUAUGCUAUUAAUGGAAGUGUGUGCGUACUGUGGAAUACUCUGUGCGAUAUUGGUUAUACUCAUUUAGUGAAUCAUAUAAUUGAUGAACAAUUUGAAUAUAAUGUUUUACUAUGGAGGCUUUUUAAGUUCUAUUAAAUGCUUAGAAUUGGUGUACUUUGGUUGUUGAUGAAGACUUUUCCUCUUUUUUUUUUUUUUUU